GCCAAAGUGGUGUAGCGGUUUGAGCUUUGGACUACGACUCCGGAGACCAGGGUUUGAACCCUGGUGGCA